rnacentral:rRNA from 1 species
CAAGUGGUGCGACGAACCAGGGCUUGCCCUGGGGCCAAGCCGCGAACGGGUGAGUAACACGUGAGUAACCUGCCCCGAUGACCGGGACAACCCGAGGAAACUCGGGCUAAUACCGGAUGUGGCGCACAAUCGUAAGUUUGUGCGCUAAAGGAAGCUUCGGCCUCCGCAUUGGGAGGGGCUCGCGGCCCAUUAGCUUGUUGGUGGGGUAACGGCCUACCAAGGCAACGAUGGGUAGCUGGUCUGAGAGGACGAUCAGCCACACUGGGACUGAGACACGGCCCAGACUCCUACGGGAGGCAGCAGUGGGGAAUCUUGCGCAAUGCGCGAAAGCGUGACGCAGCAACGCCGCGUGGGGGAAGACGGCCUUCGGGUUGUAAACCCCUUUCAGGAGGGACGAAGGUUCACCGGUGAAUAGCCGUGUGGAUUGACGGUACCUCCAGAAGAAGCUCCGGCUAACUACGUGCCAGCAGCCGCGGUAAUACGUAGGGAGCAAGCGUUGUCCGGAAUCAUUGGGCGUAAAGCGCGCGUAGGCGGCCUCAUAAGUCCGUUGUGAAAGUCAAAGGCUCAACCUUUGAAAGCCGAUGGAUACUGUGAGGCUAGAGUCCGGAAGAGGCGAGUGGAAUUCCUGGUGUAGCGGUGGAAUGCGCAGAUAUCAGGAGGAACACCAAUAGCGAAGGCAGCUCGCUGGGACGGUACUGACGCUAAGGCGCGAAAGCGUGGGGAGCGAACAGGAUUAGAUACCCUGGUAGUCCACGCCGUAAACGAUGGGCACUAGGUGUGGGAGGUGU